UGACCGUACCGCAAACCGACACAGGUGGGCGAGAUGAGUAUUCUAAGGCGCUUGAGAGAACUCGGGAGAAGGAACUCGGCAAAUUGGUACCGUAACUUCGGGAUAAGGUACGCCCUUGUAGCUUGAUGCCCCUGCGGGCAAAGGGUGAAGGGGUUGCAAUAAACUGGUGGCUGCGACUGUUUAAUAAAAACACAGCACUCUGCAAACACGAAAGUGGACGUAUAGGGUGUGACGCCUGCCCGGUGCCGGAAGAUUAAAUGAUGGGGUGCAAGCUCUUGAUUGAAGUCCCGGUAAACGGCGGCCGUAACUAUAACGGUCCUAAGGUAGCGAAAUUCCUUGUCGGGUAAGUUCCGACCUGCACGAAUGGCGUAACGAUGGCCACACUGUCUCCUCCCGAGACUCAGCGAAGUUGAAGUGUUUGUGAUGAUGCAAUCUACCCGCGGCUAGACGGAAAGACCCCAUGAACCUUUACUGUAGCUUUGCAUUGGACUUUGAACCGAUCUGUGUAGGAUAGGUGGGAGGCUAUGAAACCGGAACGCUAGUUUCGGUGGAGCCGUCCUUGAAAUACCACCCUGGUUUGUUUGAGGUUCUAACCUUGGCCCGUGAUCCGGGUCGGGGACAGUGCAUGGUAGGCAGUUUGACUGGGGCGGUCUCCUCCCAAAGCGUAACGGAGGAGUACGAAGGUACGCUAGGUACGGUCGGAAAUCGUGCUGAUAGUGCAAUGGCAUAAGCGUGCUUAACUGCGAGACCGACAAGUCGAGCAGGUGCGAAAGCAGGUCAUAGUGAUCCGGUGGUUCUGUAUGGAAGGGCCAUCGCUCAACGGAUAAAAGGUACUCUGGGGAUAACAGGCUGAUACCGCCCAAGAGUUCAUAUCGACGGCGGUGUUUGGCACCUCGAUGUCGGCUCAUCUCAUCCUGGGGCUGUAGCCGGUCCCAAGGGUAUGGCUGUUCGCCAUUUAAAGAGGUACGUGAGCUGGGUUUAAAACGUCGUGAGACAGUUUGGUCCCUAUCUGCCGUGGGCGUUGGAUAUUUGAAGGGGGCUGCUCCUAGUACGAGAGGACCGGAGUGGACGAACCUCUGGUGUACCGGUUGUCACGCCAGUGGCAUCGCCGGGUAGCUAUGUUCGGAAGAGAUAACCGCUGAAAGCAUCUAAGCGGGAAACUCGCCUUAAGAUGAGAUAUCCCUGGGGACUAGAUCCCCUUGAAGGGUCGUUCGAGACCAGGACGUUGAUAGGUCAGGUGUGUAAGCGCAGUAAUGCGUUCAGCUAACUGAUACUAAUUGCCCGUAAGGCUUGAUCC
rnacentral:rRNA from 1 species